rnacentral:rRNA from 1 species
AGAGUUUGAUCUGGCUCAGGAUGAACGCUGGCGGCGUGCCUAAUACAUGCAAGUCGAACGGGAAGCAGCAAUGUUUCUAGUGGCGACCGGGUGCGUAACACGUAGCUGACCUGCCCCUCAGCGGGGGACAACAGCCUGAAAGGGCUGCUAAUACCGCAUACAUUUGGGAGGACUAGACGCUCCUAAAGAAACUUCCGGGGCUGAGGGAGGGGGCUGCGGCCCAUCAGGUAGUUGGUAGGGUAACGGCCUACCAAGCCGACGACGGGUAGGGGGCCUGAGAGGGUGGUCCCCCACACUGGGACUGACACACGGCCCAGACUCCUACGGGAGGCAGCAGUAAGGGAUAUUGCGCAAUGGGCGAAAGCCUGACGCAGCAACGCCGCGUGGAGGAUGACGGCCUUCGGGUUGUAAACUCCUUUGGGGGGGGACGAGGAAGGACGGUACCCCCAUAACAAGUCACGGCUAACUACGUGCCAGCAGCCGCGGUA